ensembl:misc_RNA Metazoa_SRP Metazoan signal recognition particle RNA
GCUGGGUGUGGUGGCAUGCACCUGUAGUCCCAGCUACUUCGGAGGCUGAGGUGGGAGGAUUGCUUGAGCCCAGGAGUUCGAGGCUGCAGUGAGCAGAGAUCAUGCCACUGCACUCCAGCCUGGGUGACAGAGUGAGACCCUGUCUCAA